GUGCCAGCAGCCGCGGUAAUACGAAGGGGGCUAGCGUUGCUCGGAAUCACUGGGCGUAAAGGGCGCGUAGGCGGACGUUUAAGUCGGGGGUGAAAGCCCGGGGCUCAACCCCGGAAUUGCCUUCGAUACUGGACGUCUCGAGACCGGAAGAGGUAAGCGGAACUGCGAGUGUAGAGGUGAAAUUCGUAGAUAUUCGCAAGAACACCAGUGGCGAAGGCGGCUUACUGGUCCGGUUCUGACGCUGAGGCGCGAAAGCGUGGGGAGCAAACAGGAUUAGAAACCCCUGUAGUCC
rnacentral:rRNA from 1 species